GAUGAACGCUGGCGGCGUGCUUAACACAUGCAAGUCGAACGGAAAGGCCCAAGCUUGCUUGGGUACUCGAGUGGCGAACGGGUGAGUAACACGUGGGUGAUCUGCCCUGCACUUCGGGAUAAGCCUGGGAAACUGGGGCUAAUACCGGAUAGGACCACUUCUUGGAUGUUGUGGUGGAAAGAUUUUUCGGUGUGGGAUGAGCUCGCGGCCUAUCGGCUUGUUGGUGGGGUUAUGGCCUACCAAGGCGUCGACGGGUAGCCGGCCAGGGAGGGUGUACGGCGCCAUUGGGACUGAGAGACGGCCCCGGCUCCUACGGGAGGCAGCAGUGGGGAAGAUUGAACAAUGGGCGCAAGCCUGAUGAUGCGAGGCCGCGGGGGGGAUGACGGCCUUCGGGUUGUAAACUCCUUUCGCUAGGGACGAAGCGUUUUGUGACGGUACCUGGAGAAGAAGCACCGGCUAACUACGUG
rnacentral:rRNA from 1 species